CAUUUCCACUUACACCUUAAACAUGGGCAAAUGACCUUAAACAAAUUUACCUGUUACCUUGCUAUGUGCUUCUCUCCAAGAAAAAAAAAAAAAUUAUUGCAAUCUACUGAUAAAAACCACAGUUAUUCUACAGUUGAACUCAACAACAUUCAUAGGGUGGUGCACCAAGUACUUGUCACCAUAAGAGACUAAAUCGAGAUCCAAAUAUGUAACACAACUAACGUAAGGCCUUGGAUCUGACCUUCUGUCAAGAACCUUUCCUUUUUCCCCCAGCUCCCCAUGUGCCCCUGCUGGAUACUAUUUUCUCUGCGUACAGGAUGCCUGGUCGCAUUUGCCUCAGCUAGCCCCACACACGCUGUAAGACUAGCACUCUGAGACUUGUCGGUGUAUAGGGCCCUCAUUCUAUAAAUCAUCAAGGCUCGAAAUUCUGAUUCGGAUACAAGCUCCAAAGCCAUGCCACCCUUAAUUAUUCAGGCAUUCUACUUGGGGGAAUUACUGACUCAUAGCUUAUGCGAACAAUCAAAUCAGUGUUCCCAUCUACGGGAAUCAUAAAGACGGAAAAGCCUGUGAGAAACUUAUCAUUAACUUUGGCAGAAGUUACUGAUGCUAACAUCUCUGCUUUAGGUGGAGCACAGAUCAGUCUCAAAUCACCGGUGCAAAUACUGAAGGACACCAUUGCUCUGGAUUUCUUGUGGGCUAGUCAUGGUGGCAUCUGUGCCGUUGCUAAUUCUCACUCUACUUGUAUCAGUGAUAGGACACAGCAGAGCAGGUUAGACAUCACCAUGAUGAAAAAGCUACUUGUCUCUGUAAGGUUGGUCCUCAUGGUCCAAGCAUUCGUUCUUGGCCUAGGUUGGACAACUGGAAUUCCUGUUUCCAUGUAUUUUGUAGGAACUCUUAUUUGUUCCCGUUUCUGUCACAAUGGUCAUUAUGUUGCUCCAUUGCAUUCUGCCAGAACAUCCAAUCUCUCAUCAGAUGAUUGCCCUGAUGAUGCAAUGAAAAGGUAAGGCACCGACCAAAAAGGGAGAAGAGAGCCUUAGACGUACAGAGAGUGGCCAGGCCAUACCUUAUAUGACGAUGGGACUCUGGCCACAAUCUGCAGCAAACAGUCUGGAAGCCAAACCACAACUUCUGUAACAACCAUUUCGGGAAGUCAACGUACAACUCCUCCAGUGAGCAGGCUUCUUGCUUCCUUAUUUUUCGCUUCUGCUUCCAGCUCAGGGCAGAUCUAAUAUUUGGACAGCUAGAUAGGCUCCCCACCAAAAUUGGGUCUGAUGCCCAGCUUUUAGGUUUCCCUCUCUAGCUUCCCAAUGCCAGCAACCUCUAAUCAGAUAAUACCUGAAGCCUUCCACAUUGUUUUUUAUUGUCAAACUUUGUCACUUCUCUGUUCACCUGUGAGUUUCUGCUAAAUGCAAGAGAUGGCUGACUUCCAUAACAUAGUAAACUCUGAAUAAAUAGCCUUGUUUGUUCUGAU